rnacentral:lncRNA from 1 species
CUGGUAGUACCCACUUCCCUUUUAAUUCCUCCGGUCCUUCUAAGCCGGUUCAGCUUUAAUAGCUUCUCCUCCCUCCCUCUCUCAUCUCUAUCAGUACUCCCCCUCUCCCUUCCUAAAUUAAUAGAGAGUAUUUUUCAUAUGUCACAUUACUAGCUAGCUGCAGCGGAAAAGAAGCACCAGAGCUAGCUGCGGGCAGGCAGGAAUAAGCUAGCUAGUGGAAUUCUCUAAGCAUGAGCCAUGAAAAGUGUGUCGACGAAGGUUGCAAGCGGUGUUCACGGAGGGGCUACUUUAAUCGCUCUUCUGCAGCUGUACUUAAACGUGGUCGCGGCCGAGCCAUAUGCUCUUUCCUAAUCACCUUCCUCGUCCUGGCCGGCAUCACCGCUCUCAUAUUAUGGUUGGUGUAUCGUCCCCACAAGCCAAAGUUCAGGGUGGUUAGUGCUGCAGUCUUUGAUCUCAACGCAACGGCUCCUCCCUUCUUG